rnacentral:rRNA from 1 species
AAUGAACGUUGGCGGCGUGGAUUAGGCAUGCAAGUCGAGCGGUAAGGCCCCGCAAGGGGCACACGAGCGGCGUAAGGGACAGUAAUGUGUAGGUACGUACCUCCGGGCCUGGGAUAGCUGCGAGAAAUUGCAAUUAAUACCAGAUGACGUCUCCGGACCAAAGGUGUGAUUCCGCCAGGAGAGCGGCCUACAUCCUAUUAGCUAGUUGGCGGGGUAACGGCCCACCAAGGCUCAGAUGGGUAGCAGGUGUGAGAGCACGACCUGCGUCACUGGGACUGAGACACUGCCCAGACACCUACGGGUGGCUGCAGUCGAGAAUCUUCGGCAAUGAGCGCAAGCUUGACCGAGCGACGCCGCGUGCGGGAUGAAGGCCUCGGGUUGUAACCGCUGUCAGAGGGGACGAAAGUAGCUAGUGGGUUCGUCUCAUUAGCUUGACUGAU